GACGAACGCUGGCGGCGUGCUUAACACAUGCAAGUCGAACGAUGAAGCCGGAGCUUGCUCUGGUGAAUUAGUGGCGAACGGGUGAGUAACACGUGAGUAACCUGCCCUUGACUCUGGGAUAACUGCUAGAAAUGGUAGCUAAUACCGGAUACGACCCUCGGAGGCAUCUCCAGGGGGUGGAAAGAAUUUCGGUCAAGGAUGGACUCGCGGCCUAUCAGCUAGGUGGUGAGGUAAUGGCUCACCAAGGCGACGAAGGGUAGCCGGCCUGAGAGGGUGACCGGCCACACUGGGACUGAGACACGGCCCAGACUCCUACGGGAGGCAGCAGUGGGGAAUAUUGCACAAUGGGCGCAAGCCUGAUGCAGCAACGCCGCGUGAGGGAUGACGGCCUUCGGGUUGUAAACCUCUUUUAGUAGGGAAGAAGCGAAAGUGACGGUACCUGCAGAAAAAGCACCGGCUAACUACGUGCCAGCAGCCGCGGUAA
rnacentral:rRNA from 1 species